rnacentral:rRNA from 1 species
CAGGGAUUGCCCUAGUAACGGCGAGUGAAGCGGCAACAGCUCAAAUUUGAAAUCUGGCCUUCUGGUCCGAAUUGUAAUUUGUAGAGGAUGAUUUUGGUGCGGUACCUUCCGAGUUCCUUGGAACAGGACGCCUUAGAGGGUGAGAGCCCCGUACGGUUGGAUGCCUAGCCUUUGUAAAUCUCCUUCGACGAGUCGAGUAGUUUGGGAAUGCUGCUCUAAAUGGGAGGUAAAUUUCUUCUAAAGCUAAAUAUUGGCCAGAGACCGAUAGCGCACAAGUAGAGUGAUCGAAAGAUGAAAAGCACUUUGAAAAGAGGGUUAAAUAGCACGUGAAAUUGUUGAAAGGGAAGGAUUUAUGACCAGACUUUUUCUAGGCGGAUCAUCCGGUGUUCUCACCGGUGCACUUUGUCUAGUUUAGGCCAGCAUCGAUUUUCGGCAGCGGAUAAAAGCUUCAGGAAUGUGGCUCCUCCGGGAGUGUUAUAGCCUGUUGUAUAAUACGCCGCUGGGGAUCGAGGUACGCGCUUCUGCAAGGAUGCUGGCGUAAUGGUUAUCAAUCACCCGUCUUGAAACACGGACCAAGGAGUCGAACAUUUAUGCGAGUGUUUGGGUGUUAAACCCUCACGCGUAAUGAAAGUGAACGGAGGUGAGAGCCCUUACGGGUGCAUCAUCGACCGAUCCUGAUGUUUUCGGAUGGAUUUGAGUAAGAGCAUAACUGUUCGGACCCGAAAGAUGGUGAACUAUGCGUGGAUAGGGUGAAGCCAGAGGAAACUCUGGUGGAGGCUCGCAGCGGUUCUGACGUGCAAAUCGAUCGUCAAAUCUGCGCAUGGGG